UGGGGAAUCUUGCGCAAUGGACGAAAGUCUGACGCAGCCACGCCGCGUGAGUGAAGAAGGCCUUCGGGUUGUAAAGCUCUGUCGGGCGGGACGAAAAUUUUUACAGUGAAUAGCUGUAGAAACUGACGGUACCGCCAAAGGAAGCACCGGCUAACUUCGUGCCAGCAGCAGCGGUAAUACGAGGGGGGGCAAGCGUUGUUCGGAAUUACUGGGCGUAAAGGGCCAGUAGGCGGCCAACUAAGUCCGACGUGAAAUCCCCAAGCUUAACUUGGGAACUGCGUCGGAUACUGGAUGGCUUGAAUUCGGGAGAGGGAUGCAGAAUUCCAGGUGUAGCGGUGAAAUGCGUAGAUAUCUGGAGGAAUACCGGUGGCGAAGGCGGCAUCCUGGACCGACAUUGACGCUGAACGGCGAAAGCUAGGGGAGCAAAC
rnacentral:rRNA from 1 species